GCAUAUCAAUAAGCGGAGGAAAAGAAACCAACAGGGAUUGCCCUAGUAACGGCGAGUGAAGCGGCAACAGCUCAAAUUUGAAAUCUGGCUUCGGCCCGAGUUGUAAUUUGUAGAGGAAGCUUUUGGUGAGGCACCUUCUGAGUCCCCUGGAACGGGGCGCCAUAGAGGGUGAGAGCCCCGUAUAGUCGGAUGCCGAUCCAAUGUAAAGCUCCUUCGACGAGUCGAGUAGUUUGGGAAUGCUGCUCAAAAUGGGAGGUAAAUUUCUUCUAAAGCUAAAUACCGGCCAGAGACCGAUAGCGCACAAGUAGAGUGAUCGAAAGAUGAAAAGCACUUUGAAAAGAGGGUUAAAUAGCACGUGAAAUUGUUGAAAGGGAAGCGUUUGUGACCAGACUUGCGCCGUUCCGAUCAUCCGGUGUUCUCACCGGUGCACUCGGGACGGCUCAGGCCAGCAUCGGUUUUGGCGGGGGGAUAAAGGUCCGGGGAACGUAGCUCCUCCGGGAGUGUUAUAGCCCCGGGCGUAAUGCCCUCGCCGGGACCGAGGUUCGCGCAUCUGCAAGGAUGCUGGCGUAAUGGUCAUCAACGACCCGUCUUGAAACACGGACCAAGGAGUCAAGGUUUUGCGCGAGUGUUUGGGUGUAAAACCCGCACGCGUAAUGAAAGUGAACGUAGGUGAGAGCUUCGGCGCAUCAUCGACCGAUCCUGAUGUAUUCGGAUGGAUUUGAGUAAGAGCGUUAAGCCUUGGACCCGAAAGAUGGUGAACUAUGCUUGGAUAGGGUGAAGCCAGAGGAAACUCUGGUGGAGGCUCGCAGCGGUUCUGACGUGCAAAUCGAUCGUCAAAUCUGAGCAUGGGGGCGAAAGACUAAUCGAACCAUCUAGUAGCUGGUUAUCGCGA
rnacentral:rRNA from 1 species